CCUACGGGAGGCAGCAGUAGGGAAUCUUUCACAAUGGGCGAAAGCCUGAUGGAGCAACGCCGCGUGCAGGAUGAAGGCCUUCGGGUUGUAAACUGCUUGUAUAAGCGAGAAAUAUGAUGGUAACUUAUGAAUAAGGAUCGGCUAACUACGUGCCAGCAGCCGCGGUCAUACGUAGGAUCCGAGCAUUAUCCGGAGUGACUGGGUGUAAAGAGUUGCGUAGGUGGCAUAAUAAGUAGCUAGUGAAAUCUGGUGGCUCAACCAUUCCGACUAUUAGCUAAACUGUUAAGCUCGAGACCGUUAGGGGUAACUGGAAUUUCUAGUGUAGGAGUGAAAUCCGUAGAUAUUAGAAGGAACACCAAUAGCGUAGGCAGGUUGCUGGGACGGUUCUGACACUAAGGCACGAAAGCGUAGGGAGCAAACGGGAUUAGAUACCCUAGUAGUC
rnacentral:rRNA from 1 species